rnacentral:lncRNA from 8 species
UCAACAACAUGGUCGGUCCUAGAGGAGGAAAUGAUGCUCUAACAGUCACACAACCCAACACACGUCUGUUCACAGGUAGCCAUGUAAACCCCAUUGGAGAUGUAGGUUUGAAGAGAAGCAGAGGAAAUCCUCCACCCAACCCAGAGAAGCCCUCUCCAGGUCAGCAGCAACAUUGGAGUACCCUACUACCUGACAGGCUGACUGGUGCUCCAGACAAAGGGUGUCCCCUACCAUCCAUCCAUCUAUAGGCCACAGGUUGGGACCUGAAAGACGUGCCAGACCCUCUGCCAAACGUCGUCCUCCACCUCGCCCUGCAGACAUUGGUAUAUACACACGCAAAACACACACACGCACAUGAAACACACACACAACAUGAAACAUACUAAUCUUCCUCAUUAACACACAUAGUUUCCAAAUUACACCCAUCUGUGCAUGCUUGCAAACACACACAUACACACACACACUCUUUCGACAUCAUUCACUCAUUCACAUCCAUACCCAUGUAAACACCUUUACUCCUUCACAGUCAAUCUCCCUCACACACACAAACAAACUGUUUUUCAUGGUUUGGGCUAGACCCCUUAGUUCCAGUGAAGGGAAAUAUUAACGCUACAGUAUACAAUUACAUUCUAGACUAUUCCGUGCUUCCAACAUUGUUGCAACAGUUUGGUGAAGGCUCUUCCCUGU